rnacentral:rRNA from 1 species
AACCAGCACCCUCAAGUGGUCAGGAUGAUUAUUGGGCCUAAAGCAUCCGUAGCUCGUUUUGUAAGUUUUCGGUUAAAUCCAUACGCUUAACGUAUGGGCUGCCGGGAAUACUGCAUAACUAGGAAGUGGGAGAGGUAGGCGGUACUCGGUAGGAAGGGGUAAAAUCCUUUGAUCUAUCGAUGACCACCUGUGGCGAAGGCGGUCUACCAGAACACGUUCGACGGUGAGGGAUGAAAGCUGGGGGAGCAAACCGGAUUAGAACUACCGAGUACGU